rnacentral:rRNA from 1 species
GACAGAAGGUGCAGGCAUUAUUCGGUGUCACUGGGUGUAAAGAGUACGUAGGCGGUCGGCGCGUUUUUUUAGAUGAAAUGGUGGGGUAUUCCCAUACCGCAUUUAUACAUUCAGCCCGUCUAGAGUAAUUUGUAGGAAAGAAGAACUCUGUAGCGAAGGGUAGAAUCUAUCGAGCUGUGGAUGAUUGCCAACUGGUGAAGACAUCUUCUAUGUUUUACUGACGCUGAGGUACGGAAGCUUGGGGCGCAAACAGG